CUACGGGUGGCUCCAGUGGGGAAUAUUGCACAAUGGGCGCAAGCCUGAUGCAGCCAUGCCGCGUGUAUGAAGAAGGCCUUCGGGUUGUAAAGUACUUUCAGCGGGGAGGAAGGGAGUAAAGUUAAUACCUUUGCUCAUUGACGUUACCCGCAGAAGAAGCACCGGCUAACUCCGUGCCAGCAGCCGCGGUAAUACGGAGGGUGCAAGCGGUAAUCGGAAUUACUGGGCGUAAAGCGCACGCAGGCGGUUUGUUAAGUCAGAUGUGAAAUCCCCGGGCUCAACCUGGGAACUGCAUCUGAUACUGGCAAGCUUGAGUCUCGUAGAGGGGGGUAGAAUUCCAGGUGUAGCGGUGAAAUGCGUAGAGAUCUGGAGGAAUACCGGUGGCGAAGGCGGCCCCCUGGACGAGGACUGACGCUCAGGUGCGAAAGCGUGGGGAGCAAACAGGAUUAGAUACCCGAGUAGUC
rnacentral:rRNA from 1 species